rnacentral:lncRNA from 1 species
CUGGCAAAGAGUAAUCGUAAGUUUGAUAGGAUAGUCCUCCAUGUCGGCACUAAUGACUCCCGACGUCGCCAGUCGGAAGCAACCAAAGUGAACAUUGAAUCAGUUUGUGCUUAUGCUAAAACAAUGUCGGACUCCGUAAUUUUCUCUGGUCCUUUACCAAAUCUGACCAGUGAUGACAUGUAUAGCCGCAUGUCAUCAUUUAACCGCUGGCUAUCGAGGUGGUGUCCAGAAAACGAGGUGGGCUUCAUUGAUAAUUGGAGAUCCUUCUGGGGAAAACCGAACCUGAUAGGAAGAGAUGGAAUCCAUCCUACUUUGGAGGGAGCAUCUCUACUAUCAGAAAACAUGGCACAUUUAUGACAUCUCAUGAAUGAGACCAUGUUACAGAGGUGGAGUCCUCCACGCCCCUCUGCGCUUGCCUUAGGACAGUUUCCCUCCCAUUGCUAUUAUGAUAGCUGUGUUCAUCGCCAUGGCAACUGUUGUGAUGGUGGUGAAUAUUAUUUUAUGGAGACGGUGUCUGUCCCUCGACCCAUAUUUCACAAUGAUUUUAACAUAAAAUCAAAUAAAAGAGCUAUCAAUUAUAAAAAUCUGAAAAAAAUUAAAAUCUCAAAUCUAGAAACACCAAAACAUAAAACCAUUAGAUGUGCUCUAUUAAAUAUUAGAUCACUGAGAUCCAAAUCUCUACUAGUAAAUGACCUUAUCUCAGAAAAUAACUUUGAUUUAUUCUGUUUAACUGAAACAUGGCUGUAUCAAGAUGAAUAUGUUAGUUUAAAUGAAGCCACUCCUCCCAGUCAUUUAAAUACUCAUAUGCCACGAGACAUAGGCCGUGGAGGUGGUGUAGCAGCUAUUUAUCAUUCCUCUCUCCUAAUUUAUCCUAAACCAAAGGCCAACUACACUUCCUUUGAAAGCCUGGUUCUAAAUUUAUCUCAUAUCGAAUCAAAAACCUGCCAGCCAGUCUUAUUUGCGAUAAUUUACCGUCCUCCAGGCCCUUAUUCUGAAUUUCUAUCAGAAUUCUCUGAGUUUAUAUCAAACUUAGUCCUCAGUUCUGAUAAAAUACUGAUAGUAGGAGAUUUUAAUAUCCAUGUGGACAAAGAUAGUGAUAGCCUGAGCUCAGCCUUUAUGUCCCUAAUAGACUCAGUUGGCUUUUUUCAAACUAUUAAUGAA